AUGGAGGACUGGGUCGUCCUCAGCGGCAGCGACGGCGGCCACAGCGUGGAGCUCCACGACGGCAGCGAGAGCAGCUUCGCGGUCGUGCACGAGAACGCAGAGAUAUCUGACGCGACAGAGAGCAACUAUGACCACGUCGACUCCAAGAUCGCCGCCGCCAAGGACACGACCUUCUCCGGCGAGGACUUGGAUGAUGAGACCGACGAUGACAUUGAUCAAUGCUUUGAUGAGGAGGACGGAAUCUGUGAGGAGAACCCCGAUGGCGAAAUCUUCGACGACGAUGAGGAAAUCGACUGCGAGGAAGAAUUGGAUGAUGAUGAUGAUGAGAGCCUCGACGGUGAUGACGUUGAAUGCUUUGAUGCAGAGGACAUAAUCUGCAAGGAGAACCCGGACGAUGAAAUCAUGUCCCACUUAUUAUUAACCUAGCUAGUACCAAUUUAG
rnacentral:lncRNA from 1 species